CCAGUAUCAGAAUCUUUCACAAACAUGACAGAAUCUGUGACACUUACACCUUGCGAUUUUACUGUCCUGCAGCAAGAAAGUGAAGGGCCUUCCUCUCCAAGUUUAACAGAUACAUUGUCAAUCUCAAGCAGUCUAAGCAGCGAGACAAGUGAUGCUGGAUUUCAAAUGAUUCAACCUGUCAUGGAAUUUACCCGUGCAAGAAAUACUCUGGAGCAGAUUCUCACUUCCGAUGACCUCAGAUUCUCACAGGGAUGACCAAAAAGUAUGAAGAGACUGG